rnacentral:lncRNA from 1 species
AGCCAGGAGGAGACUUCACAUAAGGCAGCCUGAGCUUUUGAAUGCUGCCUCCACAAGGCCAGCCAAAAAAUUGGGUUUGGCUUCCGGAGAGUGUGGGAGGCUCCCGGGGCUGGAACACGGGCAGCCUGGAAGGGGCAUCCACUGUCUUGUGCAGAAUAAGUGUCUCUCCAGGAGAUGCUAGCUGGAUCUCCAGUCCUGGCACGGAUGGGAGAAGAGAUAGUUAUUUCUAGCUGAGCAGCCCAAGCCUGCAAGAGCGAGAAAGAAAACUAACAGUCUGGAGAUGGACUCGGAAAGAGGCCGUGUGCUGACAGCUGGAGAUCCUGACAGAGGUCUGCUACAGUUCUGUGGUGUCCAUGUCUCUCCAGGCCUAUUACCCUAGACAGGGCCUCUCACUGACCUGGAGUUGGUGAGCCACAAGGAUCCGCCUGCCCCACUUCCCCAGUACUGGCAUUAGAAAGGCACCAUCUUGACUGCUCAGCUGGACCAUGGGGUUGAACUCACCUGCACACAUUCCCAGGCAAGACUUUAUUCUGACCUUUUAAAUACCAGGGGUAUGUUACUAAACGUGGGAAUCAUAACCUGUGCCCCAAGUCAGGUCUGGCCACCCUUCCUCAAUAAACACACUAAAAGAGUUGAAUUGAACAUAGAAAGCAUAAAGGGGAGAUUUAUUUAAUGUGCUCACAUUGGGAAGAGGGAUAAAGAGAUUCAGUGAACACCUGAAUCUCUCUUUGUGUUUCUGAAAUGAGGUUAAAGCUUAAAUGGAAGCCCAAAGAUUGUAAGCAGUCCCAGUGACAUUGUCCUUCCCCGACUGACAUCCCUCCAAUUUACCCAUCCUUGCCUGGAUGUACAUCUCAUGCUGUAAGGAGGUCUGACAAGUUGUCUGACAGGUGUGAUCCCUCUAUAAGGGAGAUGGUCCUCCCCCCACACAGCCUGUGCCCUUGUCCUCUCCCACUGUGUGAUUCCUGGGGGAAUGCCCAUUUCCUUGAAGUCCAUUGUUUUGAUAGUCGUCAGACUAUUACUCAGGCUGAGGGACAUGGGUGCCUCUUUAGAGCAUCUUCAUUUCUGCCAGGCCAGUUUUAAUGGCUUUGUAAGUCCUGUCACCUUAGCUGACAAAUGUGCCUCAUAGGACAAAUUAGGCCUAAUGUUGCAUAGAAGAGGAGCUGAACAAGAAGGUGUCUCCUGGAUGACUCUUGAUUCGAGGCUGAUGCCAGUGGGGAAAAGCUCACCUCCCUUAAGUGUGGACCAGUCAAGACCAAGAGCUGCUGGGUGGAGGUGAACGAAGAACAGACCUAGGACCUUGGCCAUGACCUGGACCCUUGGUGCCCUUCCUGGCCCCUCGCUCCAGAGGGACUCAGGGCUAGGUAGCACCUGAUGCAGAUCUCCUGGGCAGAGAUUGUGACCAUGUAGCUCCCCUUUCAAGGACUUUGAGAGUCCUAGGAACAGCUUCCUGCGCUCAUGCUGUGUUCUUGACUUAUUUUCCUGAAGUAGGGGCAAGACCAUGUGUACAGCCCACUGAAUUAGAUAUAGACUGGUUUAGUGAGGGGAUCAAGACACGUCUACACCAUUCCUGUCUCUUCGGUGCAUGAUGGAUAGGAUACUUGUUCUUGAACACAGGCAUUAUGAGUAUUCAGGGUGUGCAAUGUGCCGAACUGCAGCCACAACUGCCUCCACCCCAACCCGAAGCUUCAACAAAAGAGCCCAGUACCAACAAAAAACACUCAGGUUCAUAUAACAGGACUCCAUUUUUGUUUCUGAUGCUCUGAGGGCCAACGUACUGUGACCUUGAAAUGCAUUGCUGGGUCUGAGUACUUUUGCAGGUCUCUAGCCCCCUUGGCAAGGAGAAGUGAACAGCAGCACCUUCCUACUGGUCCUUGGUGCUUUCGUGGGUGCUCUGCAUCUGUAGUCACCAGGGCUUGGGGGAGGGAACAGGAAGAACUCACAAACUAGGCUAAGAAGGGAUGAGAGCCUUGUAUUUGGUUAGAGCAUAAGAAAGUGGUUAGCAUUAGCACUCAGAAGGAGUCCUCAGCCUCCAUCACUACUGAGUUCCCAGCCUCUCUUCCUUGACUAAAAGGAACAGUUGUCCUGCCUCAAGGUCUAUCCCAGCACUGAUUGUCCUUCUUAUUGUUCAUCCCCAGCUCUGACCCUUCCUACACUGUUGGCAUCUUGCUUCAGCAACCCUUGGGAUAUGAUGUAGGGAGCAGCCCCUAACCCCUCACUGGCUCUGCAUGCGUGAAGCAGGACACCAGGAGCUUACCUCAUGGUCCUCACUUACACCAUGAUGAAGGGAACGGGAUCACAUUGAAGGGGGAGCUGUCUUAGUGAGACAUUUGAACAACGUGGCCAGUCAUUAGGCAUUCCAAAAGCCUGGUAAAGGGCAGGCUGCCUCUCCACAGGGCACUGGGGUGAGUGUCAAGUAGACCUUGGAGUUUCAUGAAAUAGCAGGGAAAGAGACUUUAAAGUGAUCAACAGUCACUGCUAUCAUGGCCAUCUCCCUAAUCUCUGUAAGUCCUGAAGGUAAAUUUUAAGGACCACACAGGUCUGCUAUCCACAUGAGGCAUGGAUACUUACAUAGCAAACCUCAGUUAGAAGUAAAUGAUAGCAACAAGUCAGAGCUGGCCCCGGGACAGCAAAGGCCUGAGUGCAUCUCUGUUCUGGGCCCUCAGCCUCCACUGCACAUAUAGACCAAUGUCCACAACCACAAGAUCCUAUCCCUCUAGUGUGUCCAGAACUGAGGCCUGGGAUGCUUGGACACUGGACUGGACGUGUCACAGGUAAAGCAGCAUCCUAUGUCACCCCAGGGAUAGGAGCUGAAUUUAUUUUGGACAGAUAGACCACAGAAGAAGUCCUCAUGGUUGCAUCCAUACCUGCUUAGCAGUGUACCUCAGCAGUGUGCUUUCCCACCACUGUAGCUGUGAGCAUCAUGAAAGAGGUCAACUGAACACGAGAUGCGGCUCAUUACACCAUGGACUUGCAUUGGUGAUACUGAAGCAUUCUGUGACUUGAGGUACCACUAAGAAGAACAAAAGCCUGAUGGUAGACUCUAGGAUGCCAUGGUCACCAAAGCAUGUUUUGACCUCAGCUCUGCUGCCAUGGGAACUGAUGUGGCCAUCACCAGGGGAGCGAACGCCUACAGCGCAUAGUCAUCUGAGGGGCUGUGAAGAAGACCAGCCAAUCUGCUUCAUGUGACUCCUAAAGCCAGGAACAGGAUUAGUGGUGUGGGUUUUGGGGCCACAGCAGCUCAAGGGAGCAAACUCUAUAGGAUCCAUUACGGUGGGCUUAUAAAUGAGCCCCAGAAUGCUGACAUUAGGCUCAGUACGGUCCAAAGAAUUACCCCUUCUUCAUCUAUAGAGAUGACCUACACUAAGGCAGGCAGGUAGAGCAGCUGCCUGCAAAGUCCUACUCAGCUUCAAGUCCCCCAGCUGAGAACUGAAAAGGGAGCUGCCCUGGGCAUCCUUUGUCCUGUUCCUGCCUGGUAAUUGACAUAGUGAAUGGUCGCUAAUGAAGAACGGAGUGGGACUUCCUGGGAAGUGACUGCAGACAGCCAGAAAGACAACUGCUAAUUACCAGUGCCAGCUGGUGGCCCUGGAGGACCAUGCAGACAGAAAAGAUGAGGGCUGGGAGGACCAGGCAGAGAGAAACUUCAGGAAAGCUGCUUUUGCUAGGGCCCUCUGCACCCAAGCACUGACUUACUCCAUGGAUGACGAAUCAAGAGGUCAAGACCAACACCAGCCAUGCUCUCUUUCCUGGUCAAGCCCGAGGAGGAGGUAUUAAACCACCAUCAUAAAUCUGCUAGUGUCCUCCAACUGACCUUGGCUGUUAGACUGGGCAGGCUUUCUUCAGUCUCAGACCCCAGCACUGAUUGCCCUUUCUGUUGCUCAUCCCCAGCUCUGACCCUGCCUGCACUGUUGGCAUUUUGAUUCAGCAACCCCUGGGAUAUGAUGUAGGGAGCAGCCCCUAACCCCUCACUGGCUCUGCGUGCGUGAAGCAGGACACCAGGAGCUUACCCCAUGGUCCUCACUUACACCAUGAUGAAGGGAACGGGAUCACGUUGAAGGGGGAGCUGUCUUAGUGAGACAUGUGAACAACGUGGCCAGUCGUUAGGCAUUCCAAAAGCCUGGUAAAGGGCAGACUGCCUCUCUGCGGGGCACUGGAGUGAAUGUCUGGUAGCUGCCUUCUUGGGUGUUUCUGCCUCAUAACUCAUCCUCCUGUAGUCUGGCGCGGUCUCUCCCCACACUGAGCAGGUCUCAGUUUCUCACACACCUGGUGCCCCGAGCGUCACACCUGUUCUUCCUCAGAUCUGUCUCCUCAUGAAUCCCUCCUCUCCCUCACCUCUGGGUCACACUGUGGGGUGUGGUCCUUCAGGGUCAAGGCCCCUGAUGGAUUGGGAUUCUGACCAGACAUACCUCUCCUAGCUACACUUGUUGUGAGCGACCCAGGACCUCCUUUCUUUCUUCCGUCUUUCCCCUCCUUCAUCUGGGCCCUGCCACUCACAGGGGUGAGCUGCUGGAGGGCAGGGAAGACUUCCGUUGUCAGAGUGGCUUGCCUGAAUCCCAGCUGCCCCUUAAUCUUAAAGAUGCUGAAAUCCUCGGCUGAAAUGGUAGCAGGAGAGCUCUGAGACUAACUCCCUUUCGCCUAUAUUGUGUGCUGGGACCAUACAAACUGACAGGUAGUAGAGCUUUGGUGGUUGGCAGUACUGGAGGCAAACAACCUACAACCCAGGGGUGGGCAGCUGGCUCUGCCUGCUGGUACUCCCUGCCCCCUUGGUAGUCUCUGCCCUGUUCCCACACAGACUUCUUGCAUGUAUCUCUCUCCAUCCUUCUUCUUUAUAGGAGAACACUAGCCAUGUGUUAAGGACUCCUUAACCCCGUGUGGCCCCACCUUAGCUAAUCUCACAGACUCUCUGUCAUACACGUUCUGGAUGUGUCUGGUGAAGGAUGCAUGCAGCCCAGCGUCCACCAUGAUGGCCUCUUAGAAUCUCAAGGUGAAGGCAUGGAACCUUCUUAUGGAAGAGAUGGGAAAUGGCUGUUCCUCCUUUUCCUUUAGAUCUUGCCCUGUGACCUGAGCCGCUUUCUCCCUGAUCCCCAUGGCUAGAUAGAUGCUGUCCUCACAGCAGAAGCCUGCUCUGCCCACCAGAGUCUAAGCAUCUGAGACACUGGAUCCUCUCCUUACCUGCAGAGAGGAGAAUGGAGCAGAAUCAAGACCCCUGAAGCCAGCACAUUCUGUGUGGCAGCUAGCCUUCCCCCCAUAAGCACGAGCAGGGCUCUGAUCCCAGAGAGACAUCACCCAUGUGCAUGUCUGCACACAUGCACACACGGUGCUCCGUGUAGCCCCGCGCUGAGUCUUCCUGCUUCGCCUCUGAGGCAGCUGAAGACUGAGGAAAGGAAAUGAGAUGGGGAAUCGCUUCUCGGGCAAUUACCCACACCUCGUAUAGUCUAAUGAGCCGUUGAGGGGCCCGGAUGGAACAUUUAGGGGGGUUAUUGAAUGUUUCCUCACAGUUUACCCAGUUCCAGGAGUUAAUUGAUUUAUGGACUGCAGGAGCAUGCGUGUCUCCGAAUAUGAGUGGGUGCCUUUUGGAUCUCUCUCUCUCUCUCUCUCUCUCUCUCUCCCUCCCCCCCCCCUCUCUCUCUCUCUCUCUCUCUCUGUGUGUGUGUGUGUGUGUGUGUGUGUGUGUGUGUGUGUGUGUGAAUUCGGGGCAUUCUGGCUAGAGGCCUGAGCUCCCUAGCUUUGGCAUCAGGCCUCCACAGCAUCUGCCUGCAUUUGCUGAGGAGAGGCCACGGAGGACGUGGCUGCACACCAAGGCAUGGGUCUGCAACCAUGCAUGCUCUCGGGACCAGGAUUCCCCUUACUGUUCCCAAAAUCCAGUUCAUCUUACCCACUCAGAUUUGUGCUAUACCUAGCACGAUAUUUUUAACUAACCUUACAUUUUUUUCUUUCAUUAGUUGUUUUAAAGCUACUACAAAAUGCUAUUGUGAAAUUGUUAUGUUUGAUAUGAUUGCUGCUCUCUUUUUCCCUUUCUUUCUGUUGAAAACAUUAUAUUUAAGUGCGUGUGGGGGGGGGGGAAGAGAGCUAGAGAGAGAGAGCUAGAGAGAGAGAGAGAGGGAGAGGGAGAGAGAGAUCAGAGACAACUUGGGAGAGUUGCUUUUCUCCUUCCACCAUGUAGGUUCCAAGGAUGGAAGUCAGCGCUUCAGUCUUGUAGCAAGUGCUCUUAGCAGCUGAGCUCUCUUAUCACCCUGCGUUCUUUUCCUGUUUGUUUUGAGACAGGAUCUCUCUUUGUUGCCCAGGCUGUCCUUCCUUUGUUGCCCAAUGGCUUCCUCUACAUUUUCCUAAUAAACAUUAAAA